CAAACGGCCCUUUUCAGGGCUACUAAAUUGAACGCAAAGUGUGCAG
rfam:Trichuris trichiura, WGS project CBXK01000000 data, contig: TTRE_953